rnacentral:rRNA from 1 species
UACGGAAGGCAGCAGGUGGGGAAUAUUGCACAAUGGGCGCAAGCCUGAUGCAGCCAUGCCGCGUGUAUGAAGAAGGCCUUCGGGUUGUAAAGUACUUUCAGUCGUGAGGAAGGUGUUAAGGUUAAUAACCUUAGCAAUUGACGUUAGCGACAGAAGAAGCACCGGCUAACUCCGUGCCAGCAGCCGCGGUAAUACGGAGGGUGCGAGCGUUAAUCGGAAUUACUGGGCGUAAAGGGCACGCAGGCGGUUAAUUAAGUUGGAUGUGAAAUCCCCGGGCUUAACCUGGGAAUGGCAUUCAAGACUGGUUAGCUAGAGUCUUGUAGAGGGGGUAGAAUUCCAUGUGUAGCGGUGAAAUGCGUAGAGAUGUGGAGGAAUACCGGUGGCGAAGGCGGCCCCUGGGACAAAGACUGACGCUCAUGUGCGAAAGCGUGGGGAGCAAACAGGAUUAGAUACC